rnacentral:lncRNA from 1 species
CUUUUGAGAUCCGAGCUUUGAUUUUCUCGACAAAGCAAUGAUAGAAGCCUCUGAAGCUCUCUUUGGCUUGAAGCUUUUUCUGUUCAUAGUUAUCUCAUUACUUUCAGUUAUUUCUUGUUUUAUGAGGCAAUGCAUGUAAGGAUGAUCGUAGGCACCAAGAAACCCUCAAGGAUGUUGAGAAAAAGUGGUAACGCGAUAGAUGAGAUGGUAGCCUUCUCGAUAGAUUCUAUUUUUUGUUUCUGAGCUGCUAAUGAAUGUUUAUGUUUUUUAAGAUGUUCUCUUUGUUUGCCUUGUAGCGAACAAGUUGUCUUGUGGUAACUACAAUCAAGUUCGCGCUUAUUAAUAGUAUGUGGUUAUAGUUUAUUUGAUGAUAGUAUAAGAAAAUAAUUUAGCAUAAUCCCCUUUGGCUUGGCUAAGAACAAUAAUCCAG